CAAACUGAUCAUUUUAAUAUUUUGUCAAAUUCUAAAAAAAGGGUUUACAGAAAAAGAACAUCUAGAUUAAAUGAGGUAGUAUUUUCUCUGUGCAUUAUACCUAACAAUAUUCAUAUGAGUAGCUGACUGGGGGUCUUGAGAGCAGAAGCAAAUGUGACUUUUCAGAAAUGGAAUCUUCAAUGGGUUCAAUUUGCCAGAUAAAUGUUCUAACCUCCUGGGGAGUCCUAGGUUUAUAGCUUAAAAACUGACAGCAUAUACUUAACUCCCUAUCAGUUCAGUCCCUAUCACUGAACAUC
rnacentral:lncRNA from 1 species